rnacentral:rRNA from 1 species
CGACCAGGGCUACACACGUGCUACAAUGGCGCAUACAAAGAGAAGCGACCUCGCGAGAGCAAGCGGACCUCAUAAAGUGCGUCGUAGUCCGGAUUGGAGUCUGCAACUCGACUCCAUGAAGUCGGAAUCGCUAGUAAUCGUGGAUCAGAAUGCCACGGUGAAUACGUUCCCGGGCCUUGUACACACCGCCCGUCACACCAUGGGAGUGGGUUGCAAAAGAAGUAGGUAGCUUAACCUUCGGGAGGGCGCUUACCAC